rnacentral:lncRNA from 1 species
GUUUCAGAAAUUGGGAAAUAAAAAUUCAGAAGAACAAUUAUGGGAGUCAUGCAAAGAAACAUUGGAAAAAGUCCAAGAAGACCAUCUAAUGGAAAAUCAGCGUAGGAAUAAGCAACAGUGGAUGACAGAAGAGAUAUUGAAUUUAAUGGAUGCAAGAAGAAAAUAUAAGAAUGCUAAUCUGACAGAAUACAAAAAGCUAAACAGUAUGAUUCGAAGAAAAAUAAGAUCAGCUAAAUCAGAGUGGCAAAAACAAAAAUGUAAA